UAAGGAAUGAAAAGUAAGAAGAUAAGAGUAAGUAAGUAAGAGUAAGGAAUUAAGAGUAAGG
rnacentral:sRNA from 1 species